UACGAAGGAUGCGAGCGUUAUCCGGAUUUAUUGGGUUUAAAGGGUGCGUAGGCGGCUUUAUAAGUCAGUGGUGAAAUCCUAUCGCUUAACGAUAGACGUGCCAUUGAUACUGUAGAGCUUGAGUACAGAUGCCGUUGGCGGAAUGUGUCAUGUAGCGGUGAAAUGCAUAGAUAUGACACAGAACACCGAUUGCGAAGGCAGCUGACGAAACUGUAACUGACGCUGAUGCACGAAAGCGUGGGGAUCAAACAGG
rnacentral:rRNA from 1 species